ACAUGGAAUAGCUCAGUCUAUACAGCGUAAGACUCUUACUCUUAGGGUUGUGGGUUUGAGCCCCACAUCGGGUA